rnacentral:sRNA from 1 species
UCUCUGUCACACGUCUCUUAACGAGGCUC